GGACCCGCACAAGUAGUGGAGCAUGUGGUUUAAUUCGAAGAUACGCGCAGAACCUUACCAACACUUGACAUGUUCGUCGCGACUCUAAGAGAUUAGAGUUUUCGGUUCGGCCGGACGAAACACAGGUGCUGCAUGGCUGUCGUCAGCUCGUGUCGUGAGAUGUUGGGUUAAGUCCCGCAACGAGCGCAACCCUCACUUUUUAGUUGCCAUCAUUAAGUUGGGCACUCUGAAAGAACUGCCAGUGAUAAGCUGGAGGAAGGUGGGGAUGACGUCAAGUCCUCAUGGCCCUUACGUGUUGGGCUACACACGUGCUACAAUGGCAGUGACAAUGGGUUAAUCCCAAAAAGCUGUC
rnacentral:rRNA from 1 species